rnacentral:rRNA from 1 species
CCAGCCCGCUCAGAAACUCAAAUGAAUUGACGGGGCCGCACAAGCGUGGAGUAUGUGGUUUAAUUCGAUGCAACGCGAAGAACCUUACCUGGUCUUGACAUCCCGGAGACCCUUAGGAAACUAGGGGGUGCUUCCAUCUGGAAGAAUCUGGAGACAGGUGCUGCAUGGCUGUCGUCAGCUCGUGUCGUGAGAUGUUGGGUUAAGUCCCGCAACGAGCGCAACCCUUGCCUUUAGUUGCCAGCAGUUCGGCUGGGCACUCUAAAGGGACUGCCGGUGUUAAACCGGAGGAAGGUGGGGAUGACGUCAAGUCCUCAUGGCCUUUAUGACCAGGGCUACACACGUACUACAAUGGCCGAUACAAAGGGCAGCGACACUGCGAGGUGAAGCCAAUCCCGUAAAAUCGGUCUCAGUCCGGAUUGGAGUCUGCAACUCGACUCCAUGAAGUUGGAAUCGCUAGUAAUCGUGGAUCAGCAUGCCACGGUGAAUACGUUCCCGGGCCUU